rnacentral:rRNA from 1 species
CAAUAGCGUAUAUUAAAGUUGUUGCAGUUAAAAAGCUCGUAGUUGGAUUUCUGGUGGGAGCGAUCGGUCUGGCGCUUAGCUCGAGUACUUGCAUCGUCUCCGGCCAUCCUUGGGGAGAGUCUGUCUGGCAUUAAGUUGUCGGGCAGAGGAUCCUCAUCGUUUACUGUGAAAAAAUUAGAGUGUUCAAAGCAGGCUUAUGCCGUUGAAUAUAUUAGCAUGGAAUAAUAAGAUAGGACUUUGGUACUAUUUUGUUGGUUUGCGCACCAAAGUAAUGAUUAAUAGGGACAGUUGGGGGUAUUCGUAUUCCGUUGUCAGAGGUGAAAUUCUUGGAUUUACGGAAGACGAACUACUGCGAAAGCAUUUACCAAGGAUGUUUUCAUUAA